GACGAACGCUGGCGGCGUGCCUAAUACAUGCAAGUUGAGCGAUGAAGAUUGGUGCUUGCACCAAUUUGAAGAGCAGCGAACGGGUGAGUAACGCGUGGGGAAUCUGCCUUUGAGCGGGGGACAACAUUUGGAAACGAAUGCUAAUACCGCAUAACAACUUUAAACAUAAGUUUUAAGUUUGAAAGAUGCAAUUGCAUCACUCAAAGAUGAUCCCGCGUUGUAUUAGCUAGUUGGUGAGGUAAAGGCUCACCAAGGCGAUGAUACAUAGCCGACCUGAGAGGGUGAUAGGCCACAUUGGGACUGAGACACGGCCCAAACUCCUACGGGAGGCAGCAGUAGGGAAUCUUCGGCAAUGGACGAAAGUCUGACCGAGCAACGCCGCGUGAGUGAAGAAGGGUUUCGGAUCGUAAAACUCGGUUGGUAGAGAAGAACGUUGGUGAGAGUGGAAAGCUCAUCAAGUGACGGUAACUACCCAGAAAGGGACGGCUAACUACGUG
rnacentral:rRNA from 1 species